rnacentral:sRNA from 1 species
AAUCUGUUGCGGGCAAAUGAAGUGGAUAUGGCUAUCGAACCCACCUGCUGUCAGGAUACGUCCUUCGCCCGCGAUGACUUCGGUUCCAGGUCCAACGAUGAUGUCCACACUGGGUUGCGUAUCGGGGUUCCCUGCCUUUCCAAUCUUGUGAAUGCGUCCACCGCGCAGGCCGACGUCGGCUUUGUAGAUACCGCUAUGAUCGAUGAUCAAAGCAUUGGUGAUAACAGUAUCAACCGCCCCCUUAGCGCGGGUUUCUUGGGACUGCCCCAUGCCGUCAC